rnacentral:snRNA from 1 species
GUACUUGUGUCAGCAAUGCACAUACUAAAACUGGAACGACACAGAGAAAGUUAGCAUGGCCCCGGCAUAAGGAUGACAUGCAAAUUCAUGAAGCAUUCCACAUUUUA